AUUGAACGCUGGCGGCAGGCCUAACACAUGCAAGUCGAACGCGUGGCGGACGGGUGAGUAAUGUCUGGGAAACUGCCUGAUGGAGGGGGAUAACUACUGGACACGGUAGCUAAUACCGCAUACCCUCAGAUGUGCCCCGAUGGGAUUAGCUAGUUGGUGGGGUACCGGCUCCCCAGGGCGCCGAUCCCUAGCUGGUCUGAGAGGAUGACCAGCCACACUGGAACUGAGACACGGUCCAGACUCCGACGGGAGGCAGCAGUGGGGAAUAGUGCACAAUGGGCGCAAGCCUGAUGCAGCCAUGCCGCGUGUAUGAAGAAGGCCUUCGGGUGGGAAAGUACUUUCAGCGGGGAGGCGUUACCCGCAGAAGAAGCACCGGCUAACUCCGUGCCAGCCGCCGCGGUAAUAC
rnacentral:rRNA from 1 species